CCAGCAGCCGCGGUAAUACGGAGGGGGCUAGCGUUGUUCGGAAUUACUGGGCGUAAAGCGCACGUAGGCGGCUUUGCAAGUCAGAGGUGAAAGCCCGGGGCUCAACCCCGGAAUUGCCUUUGAGACUGCAUCGCUAGAAUUGUGGAGAGGUAAGUGGAAUUCCGAGUGUAGAGGUGAAAUUCGUAGAUAUUCGGAAGAACACCAGUGGCGAAGGCGGCUCACUGGACGAUUGUUGACGCUGAGGUGCGAAAGCGUGGGGAGC
rnacentral:rRNA from 1 species